rnacentral:rRNA from 1 species
GACGAACGCUGGCGGCGUGCUUAACACAUGCAAGUCGAACGGAAAGGCCCUGCUUUUGUGGGGUGCUCGAGUGGCGAACGGGUGAGUAACACGUGAGUAACCUGCCCUUGACUUUGGGAUAACUUCAGGAAACUGGGGCUAAUACCGGAUAGGAGCUCCUGCCGCAUGGUGGGGGUUGGAAAGUUUCGGCGGUUGGGGAUGGACUCGCGGCUUAUCAGCUUGUUGGUGGGGUAGUGGCUUACCAAGGCUUUGACGGGUAGCCGGCCUGAGAGGGUGACCGGCCACAUUGGGACUGAGAUACGGCCCAGACUCCUACGGGAGGCAGCAGUGGGGAAUAUUGCACAAUGGGCGGAAGCCUGAUGCAGCAACGCCGCGUGCGGGAUGACGGCCUUCGGGUUGUAAACCGCUUUCGCCUGUGACGAAGCGAGAGUGACGGUAAUGGGUAAAGAAGCACCGGCUAACUACGUGCCAGCAGCCGCGGUGAUACGUAGGGUGCGAGCGUUGUCCGGAUUUAUUGGGCGUAAAGGGCUCGUAGGUGGUUGAUCGCGUCGGAAGUGUAAUCUUGGGGCUUAACCCUGAGCGUGCUUUCGAUACGGGUUGACUUGAGGAAGGUAGGGGAGAAUGGAAUUCCUGGUGGAGCGGUGGAAUGCGCAGAUAUCAGGAGGAACACCAGUGGCGAAGGCGGUUCUCUGGGCCUUUCCUGACGCUGAGGAGCGAAAGCGUGGGGAGCGAACAGGCUUAGAUACCCUGGUAGUCCACGCUGUAAACGGUGGGUACUAGGUGUGGGGUCCAUUCCACGGGUUCCGUGCCGUAGCUAACGCUUUAAGUACCCCGCCUGGGGAGUACGGCCGCAAGGCUAAAACUCAAAGGAAUUGACGGGGCCCCGCACAAGCGGCGGAGCAUGCGGAUUAAUUCGAUGCAACGCGUAGAACCUUACCUGGGUUUGACAUGGAUCGGGAGCGCUCAGAGAUGGGUGUGCCUCUUUUGGGGUCGGUUCACAGGUGGUGCAUGGCUGUCGUCAGCUCGUGUCGUGAGAUGUUGGGUUAAGUCCCGCAACGAGCGCAACCCUUGUUCACUGUUGCCAGCACGUUAUGGUGGGGACUCAGUGGAGACCGCCGGGGUCAACUCGGAGGAAGGUGGGGAUGACGUCAAGUCAUCAUGCCCCUUAUGUCCAGGGCUUCACGCAUGCUACAAUGGCUGGUACAGAGAGUGGCGAGCCUGUGAGGGUGAGCGAAUCUCGGAAAGCCGGUCUCAGUUCGGAUUGGGGUCUGCAACUCGACCUCAUGAAGUCGGAGUCGCUAGUAAUCGCAGAUCAGCAACGCUGCGGUGAAUACGUUCCCGGG